rnacentral:lncRNA from 1 species
AGACCAUUGAGUUCUGUUGUCAACCUCCUACAAGAAUCCUCUUCAGCUGGAUUCUUAUUAGUGAUGCAUGUCACCACUUGAAUCAACAAGUGUCACUUCUGUUAUCAGCAAAGCCUAUUGCUCCAAGGUCCUGCUUCACAGAAAGAGAAACCACACGGUCAAGGCCACAGCUUCUAGAUGAGACAUCUGAAGCCCAGGAACCAAAUGAGCCGCUGAGAGUCAACUCGUGAAAGACACCCCCCUUAUUCAGGAGCAACGACCACAUCGGUUGGAUUCCUUCAGCAUCAACUGCAAAGAUACCUCAGGGCCAAAGUAUGGGACAGGGAAGAUGCUCACUAGACUAGAUUUCCUUACAAGAUGAAGCAAGAGAGUCUCACUGAAAGCCUCCGAUCCUGCCUUCAUCCUUUGGUCCUACGGUUUACAAGCCUUUGGCUUAAGUUGACAGUGCCCUACACUGGCCCUGGGUAUACAGGUAUGCCGACUGUCAAGUGAGGACUCUAGAUAUCCCAAGUCUGGCCUCCUACGUGGUUAGUCAGUUUUACAGCUGAUGAAGGUAGGGCUCCAACACUAGACUUUGUAUAAGGCAACAUUUAACUGUUGCAAAUGCUGGGAUUCUGCAGUCCUGUCUUACCCGUGAUUAGAAAGAAGAAAGCCUUAGGAUUUUGCUAAGGACUGAACUCUCAUCCCCGGAAUUCUGGUCUCUUUGACAGAUUUUCUUUCUUCUUCCUUUCCGGUACUGUAGAAUGCUGCCACUGUCUACCAACUAAGUGAUAUUAAACUUUAGAAGUC